AACGUAGGAGGCGAGCGUUAUCCGGAUUUACUGGGCGUAAAGCGCGUGUAGGCGGCACGAUAAGUUGGAUGUGAAAGCUCCCGGCUAAACUGGGAGAGGACGUUCAAUACUGUCGAGCUUGAGGAUGGGAGAGGGAGGUGGAAUUCCGGGUGUAGUGGUGAAAUGCGUAGAUAUCCGGAGGAACACCAGUGGCGAAGGCGGCCUCCUGGCCCAUUUCUGACGCUCAGACGCGAAAGCUAGGGUAGCAAACGGG
rnacentral:rRNA from 1 species